rnacentral:rRNA from 1 species
AUGAAGAAGAUCGGAGGGGGGAAAUCAUUGGAGGCCCCAUUCCAUUCGGUUUAUCAUACAACUGCUCCUACUAGCCCCCUCCGCUCCGGCCCCAGCUUGCUUCUCUUAUCCACCUCAUUCUCCCCGUCCCCUGUGCCGGGCAAGUGUCAAAAGGCGAGGAGGCGGCAGGCGCCGGCGUUCGGGGAGUGGAACUACUGCCACGGCUACGACGAGCCGCCGGCCGAGCGCUACGCCAAGGAGCCGGAGGACUGCAGCGACGUGUGGUUCAAGUACUCGCCGCCUCCGCGCAAGCCGGCGCCCAAGAAGACGAGGAGCGACGUGGCUCGGGAGAAGCAGGGGAGGCGCGCGGGGGCGUUGGAAGGCGGCGGCCUGGCGCGCGCCACGUCCAGAGCCGCCUCCGCGUCCAGGGUGGUGCGGCCGGUCGACGAGGACCUGUACCAGGUGCCUCCGCCGGAGCUCGCCUCCCGCCAUUACCGACCAAGACGGGUACGUACAAACUCGAAAUGGUCUGGUUUUAAAUUUUGUUCUCCUCAGUAUGGUUCGAACUUCGAAGUGGAGCUGACUUCUCUUUGGUUGGAUGAUGCCUUUCUUCAGAAGAGGAGCCUGUGGAUAGAAUGCCUGGGCCUCAACUCGUGCGUCGCCUGA